rnacentral:misc_RNA from 1 species
GGGACCCAAGCUUGUGCACAAAUCUAAUUACAAGGAACCACCUUCCAAUAGAAAGGCUAUAGAGAUUUUUAACACCUAUCUAAUAUAAGAAGUGGCAUCCAAUUCUACUUUAAAUCAUAGAUCGCCUUAUGAAAAAAUGAAUUCACUUAUUGAGGAUAUUAACUUAACCAUUUCACCACUAGAAAAAUAUUUUUAGCCACCAAAUUGCCAAUAUAUAAUAAC